GCCUGGGUGGCUCAGUGGUUGAGCAUCUGUCUUUGGCUCAGAGCAUAAUCCUGGGGUCCUGGGAUUGAGUCCCACAUCAGGCU
rnacentral:tRNA from 1 species